rnacentral:lncRNA from 1 species
UUUUCUUGCAAACAUCUUUGUUGUUCCACAUACGUGUUUUCACUGGUCAGUUUUUACCAUCUUCUGGGACUUAGGAGGCACUUUUAUCAGCAAGGAUGAGUAUAAAAAGCGCUGCAGUAACACACCCUGACAGCUCAGGGAUUCGCGGCCGGUGGUGGUUCAUUUCUGAGCCACACAAGGUCCCAUGUGGUUCAGGAAGUGCUCGGGAAUUCCAGCUGCUGCCAACUCAAGGCCCUGCCCUUGCGCCACAAGGCCUCCUGAGCCACCCCCCCAGCAGAGCAUCAGGGGCCGGCUCAGCGGCUCGGAAGUGCAGUGCGCCUCUUCUGCGCUGCCUUCACUGUCUCCAGUGCUUCACACGAUCCUGUUGCAGUGCUAUAUAUUGUAUUAAAAAUACAUGUAAUAUAUAUAUUUUAAAAAUAUGUAUUUUAAAUUUCUCAGCGGUUACUUUGUACUCGUUGACCAGCAGCACCCAGCAGGGCCCCAUGAUAAGGAGGGGCUGGGCCCUGAGCCAGGCUGGCUCCUACCUGGGUUCUUGCCUAUGUGAUGCUUAUCCUGGCUCAGAAAACUUACCAAUUGUGACAUGGAAGGAACCUUCAAGGCUACUCUGAAAUAACGGAAACCACACCGAUUAAGUCCUUGAAUGCUCAACUGUAGAGCUAUAAUUUGGGGGAGGGGCUUCCUUCAGUAGUAUACUUAAAAAAAAAUUCACUAUGGACUUUCGGCCCUUCACGGAUUAUGUCAAAGCAAUGAGAAGAAAAAUAUAUGUGUAUAACGGCCUCUCUGCAUCCCUGGUUUAUGUGCUCCUUUAUUACCCCUGAAAUAACCAAAGAAUGAAUCGACAAGAGACGCUUUACGAGGGCUGAGAUGCUGCUGAACCCCAGGGGAAGCUUCCAACGCCCCAUUUUGUAGCAGAAAACUUGUUCCAUGGGCAGCCGUUCUAGCUCCAUGGCAUGCAGAACUUUUGUUGCUUAUCUCUCGCCCCCAGGUCCCCCAGAUCAGGGUGGGAAGAAGAUGCAUUUGCUGGCCUGUACACGCGUAGGGCUGCUCCCAGAAGCCUGGCACUUGAAAGGAUUGGAAAAUGAGAGGGCACUUCAAGUGAGGAGGAGAUAACUCAUGGUACCUUCUUUCGGCAUCCAAUUUCCCUUCCCAAAGCCAUUAGCUCUAAUGUUCCAUCAUUAACUGGCUUUAAAAACACACAACCAAGCCUUGUGUUGUUU